UACGUAGGGUCCAAGCGUUGUCCGGAUUUAUUGGGCGUAAAGAGCUCGUAGGCGGCUCAGUAAGUCGGAUGUGAAAACUCGGGGCUCAACCCCGAGACGCCAUCCGAUACUGCUGUGGCUUGAGUCUGGUAGGGGAACACGGAAUUCCUGGCGUAGCGGUGAAAUGCGCAGAUAUCAGGAGGAACACCGAUGGCGAAGGCAGUGUUCUGGGCCAGUACUGACGCUGAGGAGCGAAAGCGUGGGUAGCAAACAGG
rnacentral:rRNA from 1 species